rnacentral:rRNA from 1 species
UACGGGGGGGGGCAAGCGUUGUUCGGAAUUACUGGGCGUAAAGGGCUCGUAGGUGGCCAACUAAGUCAGACGUGAAAUCCCUCGGCUUAACCGGGGAACUGCGUCUGAUACUGGAUGGCUUGAAUCCGGGAGAGGGAUGCAGAAUUCCAGGUGUAGCGGUGAAAUGCGUAGAUAUCUGGAGGAACACCGGUGGCGAAGGCGGCAUCCUGGACCGGUAUUGACGCUGAUGCGCGAAAGCCAGGGGAGCAAACGGG